rnacentral:sRNA from 1 species
AAUUAUUUUUUAUCCAAAAUUAUAAAAUUAAUAUCAUAACAUCUAAAAAUUAAUAGUUAAUUGAGAUGAUAAGGGUAAAAUUGAAAUUUUAUUUUUGUUAUGAGAUCGUGAGUAUGAAAAUAACGACAUUUAAUUGCUUGGGUAUUAAAUUGCACAGUUUUAUUAUUUCAUGUAUUUACCUUCCAACCAAAAACAAUUAGGUAUUAAACGUCCAAACAAAGAAUAUUUUAGGUUUGUUUUUGGAUUUUUUCCCUUUUUAUUGUUUAUAGUUGAAUAAUUUUAUUCCCGUGUAAAGUUCUCAAACGAUACGUUUCUUCUUUAUUAUAUAAGAUAUUAUUUCUUUAUUUUAUU